GUCUGUGUUAACGUCUCCGGUACGGCUCAGUGCGCCUCUGGUUUCACAUAGUGGGAAGGGAGACUCCCUGUGCGCUGUUGCAGGCCCUUCCUGCUAGUGGGGAAUUACGCUAAUUAUCUGGAGCUGCAGGACAUGUCACGCCAUCUUGCCAGCCUGGCCACACCCCUGGUCCGCCUGCAUCCUUAGUGCUGAGCAAACAUCAGGAAACCAGCCGUGUCUCUGGGCUCCUCUGUUUCCAGUCUGUCUCGCAAGAUGUGUCAUCUUCAUUUUAGCCCAGUCUCUCCAUGUUUGUCAAGGUCAAGCUCAGACGCCACCCGGACUCAUGGAAUGCCUUAGAGAAGGAAAGGACUGCUGAGCGAAGAAAAGUUUCUCUAGGAACAGCUGUUUCCUCUAGAAUGUUCUCUCUUUCAGUCCUGUUCCUUUUUGCAGCUGUCUGACGUCUUGAUAUUUGCAUUUACCCAUUUUCCCCAAGUUAUUGCAACAGAAACGUUGGCUGGCUUCUAUCUACUUCAUCCUACCUGGAAGGAGAAGAAAUGGAUGGGAUUUUGACAGAAGGAGACGAGGAAAUGGGCAUUCUAGGCCCCUGAGCUAACAUCUGCUGCCAAUCCUCCUCUUUUUGCUGAAGAAGACUGUCCCUGGCUAACAUCCAUACCCAUCCUCCUCUACCUUCUUUGUGGGACGCCUACCACAGCAUGGUUUGCCAAGCGGUGCCAUGUCUGCACCCAGGAUCCGAACUGGCAAACCCCGGGCCACCAAAGCAGAAUGUGCGAACCCAACCACUGGGCCAGCCCCUCGUCUACCCAUUUUUUACUUCUCUUUCUCAUCUUCUUUAUGAGAUCUUUUGAGGAGUAGAAGUUCUCAGUUUUAGGAAUGCACUCUCUGAGCUGAGCUCAGGAUGUCUGAACGCAGCACCGCUGACAUUUUGGGCUGAGAGAUUCUGUGGCAUGCAGGGCUGUCCUGCACACUGUAGACUGAGGCUGACACGCAGGUGGACUUGGAGGUGUAAGACGUGUUUUGGAUCAACAGCUGUGAGAGGACAGGGUGGAAGCAGGACGGGCAGAGGCACAAGCUGACUGCAGUGCUGACCCCACCAGCUUUACUGCCUGGGCCAGAGCUCCGGAGGGCGUGUGGCCGUCACAGCUGUCCCAAAUGCUGCUCGGGCUUUUCUUCCUGCCCUGCCCAGGCCCCAGCGUGGCUCCCUGCAGCUGAGGCCCUGAGGCUGGAAGGGUGCACACCACUCUUGUUGAGGGGCAGCUGGGGCUGGCACUUCUGCUCACCCCAUGAAGGCCCUUUCUCUCUGAAGCUUACAGACAAGGAAAAUGAGUUUAGGGCUGUGAAGACAUGAGCUGUGGCUAUGGCAGAGUUGAGAUCUGGCUUCCACUGUGUGGCUCACCCCUUUGAAGUGCACAAUCCAGUGAUUUUCGUCCCCUCACAAAGUCACGCGACCAUCGCGGCUGUCUGAUGCCCAACCACCUUCAUCCCCGGAGGACGCCAGGCCGUCCCACAGCGGACCUGCUUCUCGGCGUAGCGAGAGGCGGUGGCCGCUAGAUGGAGACGGUCCUCCAGCGGCCUCCCCUGCAAGCUUGGCCCGCUGUGCCAGGUGCGCCCGAGCGGCCGCCGGGAGGGGCUUCUCCAGGGGCAGACGUGGCUGUUCAGGACAGUUUCCCGAAGUUGCUGCGCUGACUCCUUUGGGAUGAGAGAGGCUUCUUAGGUGGCA
ensembl:lncRNA